rnacentral:rRNA from 1 species
UACGUAGGGUGCAAGCGUUAAUCGGAAUUACGGGGCGUAAAGCGUGCGCAGGCGGCUUUGCAAGACAGAUGUGAAAUCCCCGGGCUUAACCUGGGAACUGCAGUCGAGACUGUCUAGCUAGAGUAUGGGAGAGGGAAGUGGAAUCUCAGGUGUAGCGGUGAAAUGCGUAGAUAUCUGAAGGAACAUCAGUGGCGAAGGCGGGUUUCUGGCUGACAACUGACGCUGAGGUGCGAAAUCUA